rnacentral:rRNA from 2 species
CAGUCGAGCGAACUGAUUAGAAGCUUGCUUCUAUGACGUUAGCGGCGGACGGGUGAGUAACACGUGGGCAACCUGCCUGUAAGACUGGGAUAACUCCGGGAAACCGGAGCUAAUACCGGAUAACAUUUUCUCUUGCAUAAGAGAAAAUUGAAAGAUGGUUUCGGCUAUCACUUACAGAUGGGCCCGCGGUGCAUUAGCUAGUUGGUGAGGUAACGGCUCACCAAGGCAACGAUGCAUAGCCGACCUGAGAGGGUGAUCGGCCACACUGGGACUGAGACACGGCCCAGACUCCUACGGGAGGCAGCAGUAGGGAAUCUUCCGCAAUGGACGAAAGUCUGACGGAGCAACGCCGCGUGAGUGAUGAAGGCUUUCGGGUCGUAAAACUCUGUUGUUAGGGAAGAACAAGUACAAGAGUAACUGCUUGUACCUUGACGGUACCUAACCAGAAAGCCACGGCUAACUACGUGCCAGCAGCCGCGGUAAUACGUAGGUGGCAAGCGUUAUCCGGAAUUAUUGGGCGUAAAGCGCGCGCAGGCGGUUUCUUAAGUCUGAUGUGAAAGCCCACGGCUCAACCGUGGAGGGUCAUUGGAAACUGGGGAACUUGAGUGCAGAAGAGAAAAGCGGAAUUCCACGUGUAGCGGUGAAAUGCGUAGAGAUGUGGAGGAACACCAGUGGCGAAGGCGGCUUUUUGGUCUGUAACUGACGCUGAGGCGCGAAAGCGUGGGGGAGCAAACAGGAUUAGAUACCCUGGUAGUCCACGCCGUAAACGAUGAGUGCUAAGUGUUAGAGGGUUUCCGCCCUUUAGUGCUGCAGCUAACGCAUUAAGCACUCCGCCUGGGGAGUACGGUCGCAAGACUGAAACUCAAAGGAAUUGACGGGGGCCCGCACAAGCGGUGGAGCAUG